UUCUUUAUUAGUCUUGCUAGCGGUCUAUCAGAUUUGUUGAUCUUUUCAAAAAACCAGCUCCUGGAUUCAUUGAUUUUUUUGAAGGGGUUUUUGUGUCUCUACCAAGAAAGUACUAAUUAUAAGAACGUUACAGUGGCUAUAUUAAUAUCAGACAAAAUAAACACCGAGACAUAUGGCAAUAUUAGAGACAAAGAAGGAUAUUUUAUAAUAAUAAAAAGGUCAUUAUGUAUACCUAAUGACAAAACUUCAAAAUAUAUGAAGCAAAAACUGACAGUACUACAGGGAAAAACAAACCCACAAUUAUACUUGGUGAUCUGAGCCCUCCUUUCUAACUGAUAGGAAAAGUUAGUAACAUCAUUAAGGAUAUGGAAGAUCUGAAUAAUGCCAUCAGACCAUUUAACUAACUGAUAUUUCUAGAAUAUUUCCUAUAAAAAGUCCAGAAUAGAGGUUCUUUUCACAUGCACAUAGAAUUAUACCAAGAUAGACCAUAUACUGGUCAAUAAAAUAAGUUUCAACAAAUUUAACAGAUGUGACA
rnacentral:lncRNA from 10 species